GAUUCAAAACCCCAAGUAUAUAUACUGCUCAACCAUGAUUUUAGGAUCUAUUGAGACUCUUUUUCUUUCUUUCUCAAAACUAUGAAAAUAAUGUAUCUAGACUUUACUUCUUUCAUCAUCAAGGAUUUACAAGUUUGUUCAAUAUUGCUCAAAAGUGUCAAGUAUCGAGAAUUGUGAUCGAUUAUAAUCACUUAUUGGUGAGCUCACUGUAUACUCAUUUGACUUCCUAAUUUUUCAAUAGGCGUUUUCGUGUGUACAUUUUGAGUUAAUUUGUGUAAUGUGGCUAAUCGAUUGUUUUUCUUGACAUCAUCACGUUUUUCAGCUCAUUUGAAUCCGUAUGUUUUACGGGUUACGUUCUUUUUUCUUAGAAUAAAUUGUUUACAUCGACAGCAACUACAUGCUGACCAGACCUUGUAUAUUAUCUAAGUAUUGUUUGUUCAGGAUCAGAUGUGGUGCCAAGAUUUAUUUUGUCUGACAAAAAAGUUGGAUGUUGUAAAAUUGAAAUAAUUGCUUGUUGGAUGAAGAGGCAUGCAUACACAAUAAUUGACGAUAUUUCUGUUAACAAAUAGAAAAGUAUUCAGUUGCAUAAUAUUUUUUUUUUCUUUUUUUUUCAUACUCAUAACUUGUAUACCAGUAUUGCGCGCUUCGACCAUCUAUGUCUAAGGCAUUUUGUUACUUAUUUAUUGGUUUUAUUUUCAUCCAAAGACUAAAAAAGUUUACAUUGAUAGAAAAUCUCAUAGAUCAUCAGGAUUUAGGAAUUAUUU
rnacentral:sRNA from 1 species